rnacentral:rRNA from 1 species
AUUGAACGCUGGCGGCAUGCCUUACACAUGCAAGUCGAACGGCAGCACGGGUGCUUGCACCUGGUGGCGAGCGGCGAACGGGUGAGUAAUACAUCGGAACAUGUCCUGUAGUGGGGGAUAGCCCGGCGAAAGCCGGAUUAAUACCGCAUACGAUCUACGGAUGACAGCGGGGGACCUUGGGGCCUCGCGCUAUGGGGUUGGCCGAUGGCUGAUUAGCUAGUUGGUGGGGUAAAGGCCUACCAAGGCGACGAUCAGUAGCUGGUCUGAGAGGAAGACCAGCCACACUGGGACUGAGACACGGCCCAGACUCCUACGGGAGGCAGCAGUGGGGAAUUUUGGACAAUGGGCGAAAGCCUGAUCCAGCAAUGCCGCGUGUGUGAAGAAGGCCUUCGGGUUGUAAAGCACUUUUGUCCGGAAAGAAAUCCUUGGCUCUAAUACAGUCGGGGGAUGACGGUACCGGAAGAAUAAGCACCGGCUAACUACGUG